rnacentral:lncRNA from 1 species
UUGGUUAGGAUUUGGUUUAGGAUUUAGGAUUUGCUUAAGGUUUGAUUCAGGAUUUAGAAUUUAUCUAGGAUUUGUUUAGAACUUAGGAUUUAUCUAAGGUUUGAUUUAGGAUUUAGAAUUUAGGAUUUUUUUAGGAAUUGGUUUAGAAUUUAAGAUUUAGUUAGGAUUUGAUGUAGGAUUUAGUUAAGGUCUAUCAAGGUUUCAAUUAAGAUUAAAAUAGGAUUUGGUUAAGAUUUAUUUAAGUUUUAUUUAAGAUUUUUCUAAUAUUUCUUUUGGAUUUCUUUAAGAUUUCUUUAAGGUCAACUUAUUAUUUCUUUAUGAUUUCUUUACAAUUUCUUUAGAAAUUCUUUGGGAUUUCUUCAUGUUUCUUUUGUAA